ensembl:lncRNA
GUAAUACAUGCCCUUGAGGUGUGCUGAGAAUAAAUAGACUGUCAUGGACAUUGUCGGCGUAGAUGAAGUCUGGGGUGUGAGAAGUGCCCUAGGAAUGGGGGUGCCUGCCCUGGUCUCUGAAGAAUGAUUUAGAAGGCAAGAACACACAAAAGCAGCUUCAAGCAGGAGAGCUCAGCCAUGUGGCCCAUGGUGCUGGCCCUGACCUCUGCUGUAGCCUGUGAACUGUAUUUCCAAGAAUCUCCCCUUCAGCAAUGAAAUUUUUCAGAGGCUGCCUGUCACCUACAAGAGUCUGACAUGGCAACAUGAGACCAUUGGGACCUUGCCAGAUGGACUGUUUCUGAGAUUCUGAAAUGCUUUCAGUGCCCCCUACUGGAAGCAGGCUGAAGAACCAAGUCGGCUUCAAACACAUUCUUCCUUGGGACUGAGGAAGCAGCUCGGCAGUAGAACACUCACCUAAUAUUCAAGAGGCCCGGGAUUCAAUCCUUAGCACCAAACAAACAAAAGACACAUGACUGAGCUACCAGGGACUUAGAAGGUGGAGCUAAGAGUCAUGAAGAAUCUGUUUUAGGCUUUGAAACCUAAUCAAGAAACUUCUGGAAAUUUUCUGGCUAGAUUUCAAAACUGUUAUGGACCAGUACUUCUUUGUGAGUAGAAUGUCUAUAGCCUUUGUCCUAACCUAUCCCAACACUAUAUGUUGUAUAUCACAGGGGCAGAUCAUUUCUCUCUUUAGUUUCACACAUUGCCACAUUCAGCUUAAGCAACUUUCUCAAGCCAUAUCCACACCUGGACCUGAUUUGGAUGGUGAGUCUGAACUUUGAUGCUGCCACGGGAGAUGUUUGUAGACCUGGGGAAAGGGUGGCUGUAUUCUGUAGGUGGAAGGGAUGUGAAUCAUUGGGGAUCAGCAGGCAGGUUGUGCCUGGGGAUGGUUGGACAUGACCUCUGCCCCUUGUGUGGGCUGUACCCAGUGACUCACUUCAGGUGCUAGGCUAUCAAGGACUGCACCCUCUUGUCUUACUCUCUCUUGGAUUACACAGAUGAGGUCAACAGCUGUGUCCAACCUGCCUUAUGGAAAGAACUUGAGGUGUGGGUUCUUUCUUUUGUCACAGACUCUCACAGUUUCUUGCAAUCUCUUGUCAUAGUAUGGAGGAACUUGUACCUGCAGACAACCAACAACUAUGUGCAUAUGCUUGGUACAAAUCCUUCCCCCAGGUGAACUCUGAGUUUCCUACAGCCCUGCUGGAUGCCUUGAGUGCAGCCUUAGGAGAAAUCCAAAGCCCAAAGAACCAAGCUAAGCCACACCUGGAUGCCUUACAUAUAGGAAAUAUGAGAUAAUGAAUAUUAUUUCAAACCAUGAAGUUUUGGGGUAAUUUAUGACACAGCAGUAGGUGUCUAAUAUAUCCACCCCGAGAUCCUGUUAGACCAAUUUUUCCCUAGAAACACUAUCCUUUCCUCUAGAGCCCCAGGGCCUUUACAUAUGCUACUCCAGGCCAGGAUCAUUUCUAUCUUCUAUGUCUGGGAAACUUUCACUUAUCCUACAGGACACAGGCCAGGUAUCCCUUCCUCCAGGAAGCCCUUUUUGACCCUCCUGGCUGCCUCUGUGUUCCUAUAACAGCUUAGCUGGUGGGCGAGGGCCUUAUUUAUACCAGUGCCCUAAUAUUUAACACAACAUUUUGUGUGGAAUAAAA